rnacentral:rRNA from 1 species
AUUGAACGCUGGCGGCAGGCCUAACACAUGCAAGUCGAACGAGUGGCGGACGGGUGAGUAAUGUCUGGGAAACUGCCUGAUGGAGGGGGAUAACUACUGGAAACGGUAGCUAAUACCGCAUACCAUCAGAUGUGCCCAGAUGGGAUUAGCUAGUUGGUGGGGUAACGGCUCACCAAGGCGACGAUCCCUAGCUGGUCUGAGAGGAUGACCAGCCACACUGGAACUGAGACACGGUCCAGACUCCUACGGGAGGCAGCAGUGGGGAAUAUUGCACAAUGGGCGCAAGCCUGAUGCAGCCAUGCCGCGUGUAUGAAGAAGGCCUUCGGGUUGUAAAGUACUUUCAGCGGGGAGGCGUUACCAACAGAAUAAGCACCGGCUAACUUCGUGCCAGCAGCCGCGGUAAUUC